rnacentral:rRNA from 1 species
GAUGAACGCUAGCGGCAGGCCUAAUACAUGCAAGUCGAGGGGCAACAGGUGUAGCAAUACAUGCUGGCGACCGGCGCACGGGUGCGUAACGCGUAUGUAAUCUACCCUUGACUGGAAGAUAGCCCGGAGAAAUUCGGAUUAAUACUCCAUAACACUAUAACAUGGCAUCAUGAAGUAGUUAAGGAUUUAUCGGUAAAGGAAGAGCAUGCGGCUGAUUAGCUAGUUGGUGAGGUAACGGCGCACCAAGGCAACGAUCAGAGGGGGACCUGAGAGGGUGAUCCCCCACACUGGUACUGAGAUACGGACCAGACUCCUACGGGAGGCAGCAGUAGGGAAUAUUGGGCAAUGGAGGCAACUCUGACCCAGCCAUGCCGCGUGCAGGAAGACGGCCUUCUGGGUUGUAAACUGCUUUUGAUCGGGAACAAAGAGCCCUUGCGAGGGAAGUUGAGUGUACCGAUAGAAUAAGCACCGGCUAACUCCGUGCCAGCCGCCGCGGUAA